rnacentral:piRNA from 1 species
UGGUGUUUUGUCCUUCCUGGAAUGGAUAC